ACCAUCCUGUAUGUCUCGAUGUAGACUUUUAUAACACUAAUCUAAUAACACCAAGAAUUCCAAUGUACCUGUACUGUCCUGUACCUGUGCAAAUGGCAAUAAACAUAUAUUCUAUUCUAAUCUCUUCACAGGGUGAUAAAGAAAAUGUUCUGACUCACUGGAUGGUGGACCCUCAUCAGGCCAAGAUCUGCUCGCUCACUCUAUCAGCGAUGGCUUAAUUCCAGAUCAACUCACUGCAAAUACGAUUCCUGCCCUUGAUGACUGUUUGUUACUCUGUGGAUGUGUCUUCAGUCUCCUGUCUCGUCCAGACAAAAAUAAACAUGUUGAAGAGAGCCUAUUUCUUCUGUCAUCGCCAGUUGCUUCACAGAGGCUCUACCCGAGAACAGGGGUAACUGCAGCUAGGUGUUUGUUCUGCCCUCCGAGUCGGCCUUCUCACAGUAAAAAAUUGGGUAUGGAGCGAAAAGUCACAGUCAGCUGCUGGAGCUGCACAAG